UACGUAGGGCGCAAGCGUUGUCCGGAAUUAUUGGGCGUAAAGAGCUCGUAGGCGGUCUGUCGCGUCUGCCGUGAAAACCCGAGGCUUAACCUCGGGCUGGCGGUGGAUACGGGCAGACUAGAGGUAGGUAGGGGAGAAUGGAAUUCCCGGUGUAGCGGUGAAAUGCGCAGAUAUCGGGAGGAACACCGGUGGCGAAGGCGGUUCUCUGGGACGGUACUGACGCUGAGACGCGAAAGCGUGGGGAGCGAACAGG
rnacentral:rRNA from 1 species